rnacentral:rRNA from 1 species
UACGUAGGGUGCAAGCGUUAAUCGGAAUUACUGGGCGUAAAGCGUGCGCAGGCGGUGAUGUAAGACAGAUGUGAAAUCCCCGGGCUCAACCUGGGAACUGCAUUUGUGACUGCAUCGCUGGAGUGCGGCAGAGGGGGAUGGAAUUCCGCGUGUAGCAGUGAAAUGCGUAGAUAUGCGGAGGAACACCGAUGGCGAAGGCAAUCCCCUGGGCUUGCACUGACGCUCAUGCACGAAAGCGUGGGGAGCAAACAGG